rnacentral:tRNA from 2 species
GCCGGGAUGGUGUAAUCGGUAGCCACGCAAGACUUAAAAUUUUGUGGGCGCAAGCCCGUGCGGGUUCAAGUCCCGCUCCCGGCACAA